AAGUCAUAACAAGGUUUCCAUAGGUGAACCUGCAGAAGGAUCAUUAAUGAAUUUUGGAGUUCUACUGUGCCUGCCAUUCAUUCGGAUGUGUGCACGUAGUCUCUAUAAAUCCUUAUCAACACCUGUGCACCUUUAAAAGAGGGGGAGUUUUGAUUGAGCAUAUUUUAUUAUGCUUAUGACAAAUAACCUCUUUUUUUUCUUAUACAAACUCUUUAAUGUCUAUUAGAAUGUUCUCUGGCCGCAAGGCUAUAAAAUAUAAACAACUUUUAACAACAGAUCUCUUGGCUCUC
rnacentral:misc_RNA from 1 species